rnacentral:rRNA from 1 species
GAUGAACGCUGGCGGCGUGCCUAAUACAUGCAAGUCGAACGCAUAGCGAAAGGUGCUUGCACCUUUCAAGUGAGUGGCGAACGGGUGAGUAACACGUGGACAACCUGCCUCAAGGCUGGGGAUAACAUUUGGAAACAGAUGCUAAUACCGAAUAAAACUUAGUGUCGCAUGACACAAAGUUAAAAGGCGCUUCGGCGUCACCUAGAGAUGGAUCCGCGGUGCAUUAGCUAGUUGGUGGGGUAAAGGCCUACCAAGACAAUGAUGCAUAGCCGAGUUGAGAGACUGAUCGGCCACAUUGGGACUGAGACACGGCCCAAACUCCUACGGGAGGCUGCAGUAGGGAAUCUUCCACAAUGGGCGAAAGCCUGAUGGAGCAACGCCGCGUGUGUGAUGAAGGCUUUCGGGUCGUAAAGCACUGUUGUAUGGGAAGAACAGCUAGAAUAGGAAAUGAUUUUAGUUUGACGGUACCAUACCAGAAAGGGACGGCUAAAUACGUG